UACGUAGGGUGCGAGCGUUAAUCGGAAUUACUGGGCGUAAAGCGUGCGCAGGCGGUUUUGUAAGCCAGAUGUGAAAUCCCCGGGCUUAACCUGGGAACUGCAUUUGGGACUGCAAGGCUAGAGUGUGGCAGAGGGGGGUAGAAUUCCUGGUGUAGCAGUGAAAUGCGUAGAGAUCAGGAGGAAUACCGAUGGCGAAGGCAGCCCCCUGGGCUAACACUGACGCUCAGGCACGAAAGCGUGGGGAGCAAACAGG
rnacentral:rRNA from 1 species